rnacentral:rRNA from 1 species
UACGGAGGGUGCAAACGUUGCUCGGAAUCAUUGGGCGUAAAGCGCACGUAGGCGGCUCGUUAAGUCGGAUGUGAAAGCCCUGGCUCAACCCAGGAAGUGCAUACGAAACUGGCGAGCUUGAAUAUGGAAGAGGGUCGCGGAAUUCCCGGUGUAGAGGUGAAAUUCGUAGAUAUCGGGAGGAACACCAGUGGCGAAGGCGGCGACCUGGGCCAAUAUUGACG